GACGAACGCUGGCGGCGUGCUUAACACAUGCAAGUCGAACGGAAAGGCCCUGCUUUUGUGGGGUGCUCGAGUGGCGAACGGGUGAGUAACACGUGAGUAACCUGCCCUUGACUUUGGGAUAACUUCAGGAACUGGGGGUUAUACCGGGUAGGAGGUCCUUCUGGAUUGGGGGGGGUGGGAAGGUUCGGCGGGUGGGGGUGGACUCGCGGCUUAUCAGCUUUGUGGGGGGGUAGUGGCUUACCAAGGCUUUGACGGGUAGCCGGCCUGAGAGGGUGACCGGCCACAUUGGGACUGAGAUACGGCCCAGACUCCUACGGGAGGCAGCAGUGGGGAAUAUUGCACAAUGGGCGGAAGCCUGAUGCAGCAACGCCGCGUGCGGGAUGACGGCCUUCGGGUUGUAAACCGCUUUCGCCUGUGACGAAGCGUGAGUGACGGUAAUGGGUAAAGAAGCACUGGCUAACUACGUG
rnacentral:rRNA from 1 species